AUACAGAGGGUGCGAGCGUUAAUCGGAAUUACUGGGCGUAAAGCGCGCGUAGGCGGCUUAUUAAGUCAGAUGUGAAAUCCCCGGGCUCAACCUGGGAACUGCAUCUGAUACUGGUAAGCUAGAGUUUUGGAGAGGGAAGUAGAAUUUCAGGUGUAGCGGUGAAAUGCAUAGAGAUCUGAAGGAAUACCAGUGGCGAAGGCGACUUCCUGGCCAAAAACUGACGCUGAGGUGCGAAAGCGUGGGUAGUAAACGGGAUUAGAAACCCCAGUAGUCC
rnacentral:rRNA from 1 species